ACAGGGAUUGCCUCAGUAACGGCGAGUGAAGCGGCAACAGCUCAAAUUUGAAAUCUGGCCUACGGCCCGAGUUGUAAUUUGUAGAGGAUGUUUUGGGUACCGCCGCUGUCUAAAUUUCUUGGAACAGAAUGUCAAAGAGGGUGAGAAUCCCGUCUUGGUCAGCGGUAGGACCUGUGUAAAACUCCUUCGACGAGUCGAGUUGUUUGGGAAUGCAGCUCAAAAUGGGUGGUAAAUUUCAUCUAAAGCUAAAUAUUGGCCAGAGACCGAUAGCGCACAAGUAGAGUGAUCGAAAGAUGAAAAGCACUUUGAAAAGAGAGUUAAACAGUAUGUGAAAUUGUUGAAAGGGAAGCGCUUGCAACCAGACUUGCGCGUGGCGGUUCCCCCUUCCUUCUGGUUGGGUUACUCCGUCACGUCCAGGCCAACAUCGGUUCUGGGGGCCGGUUAAAGGCUCGGGGAAUGUACCUACUCCUUCGGGUGUAGACUUAUAGCCCCGGGUGUCAUGCGGCCUCCCGGGACCGAGGAACGCGCUUCGGCUCGGAUGUUGGCGUAAUGGUUGUCAGCGACCCGUCUUGAAACACGGACCAAGGAGUCUAACAUCUAUGCGAGUGUUUGGGUGUCAAACCCGGAACGCGGAAUGAAAGUGAACGGAGGUAGGAAGCUUAGGCUGCACUAUCGACCGAUCCUGAUGUCUUCGGAUGGAUUUGAGUAAGAGCAUAGCUGUUGGGACCCGAAAGAUGGUGAACUAUGCCUGAAUAGGGUGAAGCCAGAGGAAACUCUGGUGGAGGCUCGCAGCGGUUCUGACGUGCAAAUCGAUCGUCAAAUUUGGGUAUAGGGGCGAAAGACUAAUCGAACCAU
rnacentral:rRNA from 1 species